UGUCAUACUGGGUGCAAUAUAGAUGGGUUUCCACACCUAUCCGCGGGCUAUCAUCGGCCUAAAUAGGUUGCACAAGAUCGAAGAAGCAAAACUAGUCCAUGGGAAGAAAAGCAUUGGGACGAAAAUAAAAACUGAGUCUGGGCAUCUCCGAGCGGUUCUUGUGGGAGAAAACUUGAUAUACUCAGAGUGAGGCCUCCUAGUAGUUAUCUGUGAAUUUUCGGGACGUUUCUCACAUGGUUAAAAAUCGGCCGAUUUUCGGUAUGGUAAAGCCUUGGCCAUUUUUGGACCGUUUUUUGGCGCAACCUUGUGCACCCCGAACGAGCCCCACCCGACCCCUAGGCCUGGGCUUUUUUUAUGUGUCAUACUGGUGCAAUAUAGAUGGGUUUCCACACCUAUCCGCGGGCUAUCAUCGGCCUAAAUAGGUUGCACAAGAUCGAAGAAGCACAACUAGUCCAUGGGAAGAAAAGCAUUGGGACGAAAAUAAAAACUGAGUCCGGGCAUUUUCGAGCGGUUCGUGUGGGAAAAAACCUUGAUAUUACUCAGAGUGAGGCCUCCUAGUAGUUAUAUGUGAAUUUUCGGGACGGUUCUCACAUGGUUAAAAAUCGGCCGAUUUUCGGUAUGGUAAAGCCUUGGCCAUUUUUGGACCGUUUUUUGCGCAACCGUUGUGCACCCCGAACGAGCCCCACCCGACCCCUAGGCCCUGGGCUUUUUUAUGUGUCAUAAUGGGUGCAAUAUAGAUGGGUUUCCACACCUAUCCGCGGGCUAUCAUCGGCCUAAAUAGGUUGCACAAGAUCAAAGAAACAAAACUAGUCCAUGGGAAGAAAAGCAUUGGGACGAAAAUAAAAACUGAGUCUGGGCAUCUCCGAGCGGUUCUUGUGGGAGAAAACUUUAAUAUUACUCAGAGUGAGGCCUCCUAGUAGUUAUCUGUGAAUUUUCGGGACGUUUCUCACAUGGUUAAAAAUCGGCCGAUUUUCGGUAUGGUAAAGCCUUGGCCAUUUUUGACCGUUUUU
rnacentral:lncRNA from 1 species